rnacentral:rRNA from 1 species
AUUGAACGCUGGCGGCAUGCUUUACACAUGCAAGUCGAACGGCAGCACGGGUGCUUGCACCUGGUGGCGAGUGGCGGACGGGUGAGUAAUACAUCGGAACGUGUCCAGAAGAGGGGGAUAACGCAUCGAAAGAUGUGCUAAUACCGCAUAUGCUCUGAGGAGGAAAGUAGGGGAUCGAAAGACCUUACGCUUUUGGAGCGGCCGAUGUCUGAUUAGCUAGUUGGUGGGGUAAGGGCCUACCAAGGCGACGAUCAGUAGUUGGUCUGAGAGGACGACCAGCCACACUGGGACUGAGACACGGCCCAGACUCCUACGGGAGGCAGCAGUGGGGAAUUUUGGACAAUGGGCGAAAGCCUGAUCCAGCCAUGCCGCGUGAGUGAUGAAGGCCCUAGGGUUGUAAAGCUCUUUCACCGGGGAAGAUAAUGACGGUACCCGGAGAAGAAGCCCCGGCUAACUUCGUGCCAGCAGCCGCGGUAAUGUCUAGCA